UUUUUGAGAAGGACUUUGAAUGAUGUGAUUCUGAACGUGAAUGCUUCUUAAAUUCGCUAAGUGGGAUAAGCAAGUUCCACACAUCACACCAUGGCGUGAUGCUUCUCCACAGGUUGAAAAGCAAUGGAGUCAACCAACUGAAGUCUCCAAAAUGAUAGUAGGCUUCAGCUGGGAGCUAUGUGCAAAUUACUUUCACCAUUGACAUCACUUUCUGUGGCCAACUGGAGCUGCUUCAAGGG